rnacentral:lncRNA from 1 species
ACGGAGGGAGGGUACCCAGAAGAGGAGGGUGUUACCGUGCAUCCAGAGAGCCCUGACUCGGAGCCAGGAGCUGGGCGUUGAGAAGAUCCAGACUGAGUCCGACGAAGGAGCUGGUGGAGAGCAGGACCGGACAGAUGGGCGGUCUCGCCGAGCUCCUUGGGCAGCAGCCAGAGAUCAGGUUCCCUGCUAGCUGCAGAGCCCGCCACAAUGCGGGGAAGAAUGAUAAUCACGCAGGGAGAAACGCCGGAUAACAAAGUGUUCUCCGCGACAGUGCAACGAUGAGAAUCGAGAGGAUGCAUCCAAUGAUCACGACCACGACGAGAUCACCACAGGAACGGCCAAGGCAAGAAAGCAAAGACCUUGAAGAAAAAGAACCACUCCAGUGCUACAGCAGAGGCCCCCGCAGACCUUGCCAUGGACCGCAAGGAGACAGACAGCGUGCUGGUCAGGUCUACAGAGAAAGGAGCGGCUGUGACAACCACGAGUGCCCCAGGGAGUGGCCUCCACUUCCCUUUGGUUUAUGACUGAGUCUGGGACUCAGUCAUAAACCAAAGGGCCAGUGGUUCUGUCCCAAUGUCCCAGGGAAAACAAGAAAACAAUGAAGAAGCACCGGGAAAAAAAGAGAGGGCUUUUAUGACAGGUAGU